rnacentral:rRNA from 1 species
UACAGAGGGUGCGAGCGUUAAUCGGAAUUACUGGGCGUAAAGGGUGCGUAGGCGGUUAGAUAAGUUAGAUGUGAAAUCCCUGGGCUUAACCUAGGAACUGCGUUUAAUACUGUCUAUCUAGAGUACUGAAGAGGUUAGUGGAAUUUCCAGUGUAGCGGUGAAAUGCGUAGAUAUUGGAAGGAACAUCAGUGGCGAAGGCGACUAACUGGUCAGAUACUGACGCUGAGUCACGAAAGCGUGGGGAGCAAACAGG